GGACAGUGGCUCCCAGGAGCUGCUCCCUGAAAGGGCUACCCCUCAACCAACCCAGGCAAUUCCCUGCUUUGGCACGGAAUGUGUCUGCUCCAGAGCCGAGUACCUCGCCAAAAAGUUAUAUACAUUGGUGUCCAAGAAGAAGAAAAACCCCUUUGAACAAACCUGAAAAUUUCUCAUGCUGUAUCUCAUGCCGGGAUAACAGGCUCUCUGAAAACUCUAGAACUGAAAAGUGCCCAGUUCUUUCUCAUCUGAGGAUAAGCUUUGUUGGAUAAAAAACAUAUUGUGCAAUUCAUGAGAAUCUUUCUGAUUGGAUAAUGAAAUAAAGUGAUUUUCAA